rnacentral:rRNA from 1 species
GACGAACGCUGGCGGCGUGCUUAACACAUGCAAGUCGAACGAUGAACCGGGUGCUUGCACCUGGGGAUUAGUGGCGAACGGGUGAGUAACACGUGAGUAACCUGCCCUGGACUCUGGGAUAACCCCGAGAAAUCGGAGCUAAUACCGGAUAGGACCUUUCCUCGCAUGAGGUUUGGUGGAAAGUUUUUCGGUCUGGGAUGGACUCGCGGCCUAUCAGCUUGUUGGUGAGGUAGUGGCUCACCAAGGCGUCGACGGGUAGCCGGCCUGAGAGGGUGACCGGCCACACUGGGACUGAGACACGGCCCAGACUCCUACGGGAGGCAGCAGUGGGAAUAUUGCACAAUGGGCGCAAGCCUGAUGCAGCAACGCCGCGUGAGGGAUGACGGCCUUCGGGUUGUAAACCUCUUUUAGUAAGGAAGAAGCCUUUCUUAGGUGACGGUGCUUGCAGAAAAAGGACCGGCUAACUACGUGCCAGCCGCCGCCGUAAGAC